rnacentral:rRNA from 1 species
CCUACGGGAGGCAGCAGUGAGGAAUAUUGGUCAAUGGCCGAGAGUCUGAACCAGCCAAGUCGCGUGAAGGAAGACUGCCCUACGGGUUGUAAACUUCUUUUAUAAAGGAGUAAAACGCGGCACGUGUGCCUUUUUGCAUGUACUUUAUGAAUAAGCAUCGGCUAACUCCGUGCCAGCAGCCGCGGUAAUACGGAGGAUCCGAGCGUUAUCCGGAUUUAUUGGGUUUAAAGGGAGCGUAGAUGGGGUGGUAAGUCAGCUGUGAAAGUUUGGGGCUCAACCGUAAACUUGCAAUUGAUACUGGCAGUCUUGAGUACAGUUGAGGUAGGCGGAAUGCGUGGUGUAGCGGUGAAAUGCUUAGAUAUCACGAAGAACCCCGAUUGCGAAGGCAGCUUACUAAAGUGUGACUGACAUUGAUGCUCGAAAGUGUGGGUAUCGAACAGGAUUAGAUACCCGUGUAGUC